UCGUCGCAGUCACGUGACUGUGUGGCAUAAAAGACGGCGCGGGUUCGUAUUCUUUCUUUCCUCCUCUCGUCCGUGGGUAGCGGAGGGACAUCGCUGCGACUUCUCCUUCCGUUGCAGGCCACACGUGGUCGUUUGUGCUGACUGGAUCUGGGCGGAUGGUGUGGCUCGUGUUUGGUGGAAAGCCUCGUCAACAACUCAUAGCAACCUCAAAUAAAUGGUAAAAAUGUAGUGUUUCAAAUUAUAUAAAUGUGUAUUUUUGGUGUCAGAUUUCUGACAUGAAGUGCUGUUUUGUUUUUCACCUGAAAAGAUUUCAAUUUGGUGUUAAAUAAAGCUGAUC